rnacentral:rRNA from 1 species
GUGGGGAAUUUUGCGCAAUGGGGGAAACCCUGACGCAGCAACGCCGCGUGGAGGAUGAAGGUUUUCGGAUUGUAAACUCCUGUCAGUGGGGAAAAAGCGAGCUGGUCGAACACGCCAGUGAGUUGAUUGUACCCGCAGAGGAAGCCCCGGCUAACUCUGUGCCAGCAGCCGCGGUAAUACAGAGGGGGCAAGCGUUAUUCGGAAUUAUUGGGCGUAAAGGGCGCGUAGGCGGCCGCACAAGUGGAAGGUGAAAUCCCCCGGCUCAACCGGGGAACUGCCUUCCAAACUGAGUGGCUUGAGUCCGGGAGAGGUGAGUGGAAUUCCCAGUGUAGCGGUGAAAUGCGUAGAUAUUGGGAGGAACACCGGUGGCGAAGGCGGCUCACUGGACCGGAACUGACGCUGAGGCGCGAAAGCGUGGGGAGCAAACGGGAUUAGAUACCCCAGUAGUCC